CUGAGCAAUUGCAGGAAAACUUCUGACUCGCCAGAAGAAAUAACCCAAGACAGUCUAUGAAACGAAACUGGGGUUGUGGUGACUUUGAUCUGCAUCAUUGUAGUUUAAUUUCUCAGUUUUACAAGUAAGCAAUGAAAAUGAACAGGACUGACUGAAUUACAUGUUACUUAGGGCUUUCGGGAGGUGGUCACAGCUGAAUCAAUCCGUUUACCUUCCAUGGGAGGUGUUAAUAUAUAUCUUAUUGCUUAUUUUCUUUUAACCCAACACUUUAAGCUCAGCCAGAGAUCCAAGGGACAGUGGAGGUUGCUAGGCAGGAGUGUCAGUAAAGAGGCCAGUUGGAUGCUGAGGAUGGCUUAAGCUGCCCAGUGCUGGCUCUCAGGAAUCUGGAAAAUUUAAACAUUAUCACCUGACACCAAUCCUUUGUGAGAUCCCAACAGAGCCUUCCCUGUCUUCAGUGAGAGCUGUCUACUUGUUCUGGAACACUUCUGAGCACUCCCAUUUGAGGCGAUGGAGACGAUGAGGAGCCACCUUCCUUGGGGUUCUCAGGGACGCUCCCUUUCCCACAGACAGGCUCCUUCAGUUUCCAGCCUCCCCCCUCCAGCUAUUGUCUCCUUUUUCAAGUCUGUGGGUGAAUUGUGGGGUCCACUCACCUCUGUUUUUCUAAAUCCCUCAAAUCCCUUUCCUACCCUGGUAUGUCCAGGAUUCAUCUCCUCAAAAUUUGUUUAAAGGGCGUGGGUUACAAAUAAGGUUAGGUAGCACAUGCUAUUUAGAAAGUUUCAGAAAG
rnacentral:lncRNA from 10 species